GGAAGGUGCAAGCGUUAAUCGGAAUUACUGGGGCGUAAAGCGCGCGUAGGCGGCUAGAUAAGUCGGGUGUGAAAGCCCUGGGCUCAACCUGGGGAACUGCAUUCGAUACUGUCUGGCUAGAGUGUGAUAGAGGGAGGCGGAAUUCCACAUGUAGCGGUGAAAUGCGUAGAGAUGUGGAGGAACACCAAUGGCGAAGGCAGCCUCCUGGAUCAACACUGACGCUGAGGUGCGAAAGCGUGGGGAGCAAACAGGAUCAGAUACCCUGGUAGUCCACGCUGUAAACGAUGUCAACUAGCCGUUGGGAGCAUUUUGGCUCUUGGUGGCGUAGCUAACGCGAUAAGUUGACCGCCUGGGGAGUACGGUCGCAAGAUUA
rnacentral:rRNA from 1 species